rnacentral:rRNA from 1 species
GAUCCUGGCUCAGGAUGAACGCUGGCGGCGUGCCUAACACAUGCAAGUCGAACGAGGUUAUUUUUGAUUGAAGUUUUUCGGACAGAUUUCAAGAUACCGAGUGGCGGACGGGUGAGUAACGCGUGGGUAACCUGCCUCAUACAGGGGGAUAACGGUUAGAAAUGACUGCUAAUACCGCAUAAGCGCACAGUACCGCAUGGUACGGUGUGAAAACUACCGGUGGUAUGAGAUGGACCCGGCCGUCUGAUUAG